AUUGAACGCUGGCGGCAUGCUUUACACAUGCAAGUCGGACGGCAGCACAGAGAAGCUUGCUUCUUGGGUGGCGAGUGGCGAACGGGUGAGUAAUAUAUCGGAACGUACCGAGUAAUGGGGGAUAACUAAUCGAAAGAUUAGCUAAUACCGCAUAUUCUCUGAGGAGGAAAGCAGGGGACCUUCGGGCCUUGCGUUAUUCGAGCGGCCGAUAUCUGAUUAGCUAGUUGGUGGGGUAAAGGCCUACCAGGGCGACGAUCAGUAACGGGUCUGAGAGGAUGAACCGCCUCACUGGGACCUAAACACUGGCCAAACUCCUACGGGUGUGGUAUUAGGGGAGUCUUUUCUUCCGGGCCAAAAGUCCUUUACACCCGAAGGCCUUCUUCAGAAACCCGGCAGGGCGGGAUCAGGUUGGCCCAUUGUCAAAAUUCCCCACAGCUGCCUCCCGAAAGAGUCUGGGCCGUGUCUAAUCCGGUGGGGGGAACAUCCCCUCAGAAGGACUAGGAGCGGGGCCUGGGUAGGGUUUACCCCGCGAACAACUAAUCACAAACGGCAGUUAAAAAAAGGCUGGCCCCAAGGGGCCCCUGCUUGCCCCCCCAAAAAAAAAGCCGGGUUUAAGUAAACUGUCAAAUAAUUUUCCCCCCUUUAAUCGGAGCCUUUCACAAGCAUAAAAGCAGCGUUGCACCCUCCCCCCCAGGAAGCCCCCCUUUUUUUUCCUUCCCUUUCAAAUUUCAAGGGUAGACAGCCCCCGCUAUAAAACUAAACCAAGUACAAAAUCUAAGGGCAAUCUCAAUUGGGUUCGGCCCCGGGGAACCCUGUGUCUACACCGCGCCCCCCGCAAGACCCGCAUUGCCAAAUGAAAGGUGGAAGAAGGGAGUGACGCGCCACACUUUACACAAACGGGUCCGGGAACCCCCGCGGGACACAAAAAAAGACCCCCACCAGACUUCUAUAUGUUGUGAUAAAAAAAAAGACCCCCCUUAUUAUAUGUUUGGUUAGGAGGAUAAAGCAGAAAGACUACG
rnacentral:rRNA from 1 species